CUCCAGUUGAUCGCAUGGUCUUCUGGGAAAGCUUUCGCGGUAUGGGAUGGGGUCGCGUCCUAUCAGCUUGACGGCGGGGUAACGGCCCACCGUGGCUUCGACGGGUAGCCGGCCUGAGAGGGCGACCGGCCACAUUGGGACUGAGAUACGGCCCAGACUCCUACGGGAGGCAGCAGUGGGGAAUAUUGCACAAUGGGCGCAAGCCUGAUGCAGCGACGCCGCGUGAGGGAUGGAGGCCUUCGGGUUGUAAACCUCUUUUAUCGGGGGGCAAGCGAGAGUGAGUUUACCCGUUGAAUAAGCACCGGCUAACUACGUGCCAGCAGCCGCGGUAAUACGUAGGGUGCAAGCGUUAUCCGGAAUUAUUGGGCGUAAAGGGCUCGUAGGCGGUUCGUCGCGUCCGGUGUGAAAGUCCAUCGCUUAACGGUGGAUCCGCGCCGGGUACGGGCGGG
rnacentral:rRNA from 1 species